UACGGAGGAUGCAAGCGUUAUCCGGAUUUAUUGGGUUUAAAGGGUGCGCAGGUUGUUUGAUAAGUCAGUGGUGAAAGUCUGUCGCUUAACGGUAGGAUUGCCAUUGAUACUGUUAGACUUGAAUAUGGAUGAGGUAGGCGGAAUGUGUAGUGUAGCGGUGAAAUGCGUAGAUAUUACACAGAACACCGAUUGCGAAGGCAGCUUACUAAUCCAUCAUUGACGCUGAGGCACGAAAGCGUGGGGAUCAAACAGGA
rnacentral:rRNA from 1 species